rnacentral:rRNA from 1 species
UUGAACGCUGGCGGCAUGCUUUACACAUGCAAGUCGAACGGUAGACCCUUUCGGGGGUUGAGAGUGGCGAACGGGUGAGUAAUGCAUCGGAACAUACCCAGUCGUGGGGGAUAACGUAGCGAAAGUUACGCUAAUACCGCAUGAGUCCUGAGGGAGAAAGCGGGGGAUCGCAAGACCUCGCGCGAUUGGAGUGGCCGAUGUCAGAUUAGCUAGUUGGUGGGGUAAAGGCCUACCAAGGCGACGAUCUGUAGCGGGUCUGAGAGGAUGAUCCGCCACACUGGGACUGAGACACGGCCCAGACUCCUACGGGAGGCAGCAGUGGGGAAUUUUGGACAAUGGGCGCAAGCCUGAUCCAGCCAUUCCGCGUGAGUGAAGAAGGCCUUCGGGUUGUAAAGCUCUUUCGGCCGGGAAGAAAUCGCAUCUCCUAAUAUGGGGUGUGGAUGACGGUACCGGAAGAAGAAGCACCGGCUAACUACGU